rnacentral:tRNA from 2 species
GCGGGCGUAGCUCAGUUGGCUAGAGCGUCAGCCUUCCAAGCUGAGGGUCGCGAGUUCGAGUCUCGUCGCCCGCUCCA